UCGGCCUUGAAUGUUAGGAGAA
rnacentral:miRNA from 1 species